rnacentral:rRNA from 1 species
CCUACGGGAGGCAGCAGUAAGGAAUAUUGGUCAAUGGACGCAAGUCUGAACCAGCCAUGCCGCGUGAAGGAUUAAGGUCCUCUGGAUUGUAAACUUCUUUUAUUUGGGACGAAAAAGGGCCUUUCUAGGCCAACUGACGGUACCAGAUGAAUAAGCACCGGCUAACUCCGUGCCAGCAGCCGCGGUAAUACGGAGGGUGCAAGCGUUAUCCGGAUUCACUGGGUUUAAAGGGUGCGUAGGCGGGUAGGUAAGUCAGUGGUGAAAUCCUGGAGCUCAACUCCAGAACUGCCAUUGAUACUAUUUAUCUUGAAUAUUGUGGAGGUAAGCGGAAUAUGUCAUGUAGCGGUGAAAUGCUUAGAUAUGACAUAGAACACCUAUUGCGAAGGCAGCUUACUACGCAUAUAUUGACGCUGAGGCACGAAAGCGUGGGGAUCAAACAGGAUUAGAUACCCUGGUAGUCCACGCCCUAAACUAUGAUUACUCGACAUUUGUGAUACACAAUAAGUGUCUGAGCGAAAGCAUUAAGUAAUCCACCUGGGAAGUACGUCCGCAAGGAUGAAACUCAAAGGAAAUUGACGG